UGGUUUGUCGCGUUGUUCGUGAAAUCUCACGGCUUAACUGUGAGCGUGCGGGCGAUACGGGCAGACUUGAGUACUGCAGGGGAGACUGGAAUUCCUGGUGUAGCGGUGGAAUGCGCAGAUAUCAGGAGGAACACCGGUGGCGAAGGCGGGUCUCUGGGCAGUAACUGACGCUGAGGAGCGAAAGUGUGGGGAGCGAACAGGAUUAGAUACCCUGGUAGUCCACGCCGUAAACGGUGGGUACUAGGUGUGGGUUUCCUUCCUUGGGAUCCGUGCCGUAGCUAACGCAUUAAGUACCCCGCCUGGGGAGUACGGCCGCAAGGCUAAAACUCAAAGAAAUUGACGGGGGCCCGCACAAGCGGCGGAGCAUGUGGAUUAAUUCGAUGCAACGCGAAGAACCUUACCUGGGUUUGACAUGCACAGGACGCCGGCAGAGAUGUCGGUUCCCUUGUGGCCUGUGUGCAGGUGGUGCAUGGCUGUCGUCAGCUCGUGUCGUGAGAUGUUGGGUUAAGUCCCGCAACGAGCGCAACCCUUGUCUCAUGUUGCCAGCGGGUAAUGCCGGGGACUCGUGAGAGACUGCCGGGGUCAACUCGGAGGAAGGUGGGGAUGACGUCAAGUCAUCAUGCCCCUUAUGUCCAGGGCUUCACACAUGCUACAAUGGCCGGUACAAAGGGCUGCGAUGCCGCGAGGUUAAGCGAAUCCUUUUAAAGCCGGUCUCAGUUCGGAUCGGGGUCUGCAACUCGACCCCGUGAAGUC
rnacentral:rRNA from 1 species